rnacentral:rRNA from 1 species
AUUGAACGCUAGCGGGAUGCCUAACACAUGCAAGUCGAACGGAGUGGCGAACGGGUGAGUAAUGUCUCGGAACGUGCCCGGUAGCGGGGGAUAACUACGCGAAAGCGGAGCUAAUACCGCAUACUAUUAGAGCUGCCGAUUGCGGAUUAGCUAGUUGGUGGGGUAACGGCUUACCAAGGCGACGAUCCGUAGCUGGUCUGAGAGGAAGACCAGCCACACUGGAACUGAGACACGGCCCAGACUCCUACGGGAGGCAGCAGUGGGGAAUUUUGGACAAUGGGCGAAAGCCUGAUCCAGCCAUGCCGCGUGUGCGAUGAAGGCCUUCGGAUUGUAAAGCACUUUUGGUAGGAAAGCGUUACCUACAGAAUAAGCACCGGCUAACUACGUGCCAGCAGCCGCGGUAAUUC